rnacentral:rRNA from 1 species
AGGGAUAGCCCAGAGAAAUUUGGAUUAAUACCUCAUAAUAUUUUUAACUCGCAUGAGUUUUAAAUUAAAACUUCGGUGGUAAAAGAUGGGCAUGCGUUCUAUUAGUUUGUUGGUGAGGUAACGGCUUACCAAGACUACGAUAGAUAGGGGUUCUGAGAGGAUAGUCCCCCACACUGGUACUGAGACACGGACCAGACUCCUACGGGAGGCAGCAGUGAGGAAUAUUGGUCAAUGGUCGAAAGACUGAACCAGCCAUGUCGCGUGAAGGAUGACGGCCCUAUGGGUUGUAAACUUCUUUUUGUAUGGGAAGAAAAGCAGUUACGUGUAAUUGUCUGCCGGUACCAUACGAAUAAGGAUCGGCUAACUCCGUGCCAGCAGCCGCGGUAAUACGGAGGAUUCAAGCGUUAUCCGGAUUUAUUGGGUUUAAAGGGUGCGUAGGCGGCUCUAUAAGUCAGUAGUGAAAUCUCGAAGCUCAACUUCGAACGUGCUAUUGAAACUGUAGAGCUUGAGUACAGACGAGGCAGGCGGAAUGUGUUGUGUAGCGGUGAAAUGCUUAGAUAUAACACAGAACACCGAUAGCGAAGGCAGCUUGCCAGACUGUAACUGACGCUGAGGCACGAAAAGCGUGGGGAGCGAACAGGAUUAGAUACC